CAGGUCAGUGGCUGUCUUGCCCGCCUGAAAAGCGGAAGGUCGCCGGUUCGAUCCCGGCCCUGGCCA
rnacentral:tRNA from 1 species